rnacentral:tRNA from 1 species
GGCGGCUUAGCCAAGCAGUAAGGCGACGGUCUGCAAAACCGUUAUACUCGGGUGCGAAUCCCGAAGCCGCCU